rnacentral:rRNA from 1 species
UGGGGAAUAUUGCACAAUGGGCGCAAGCCUGAUGCAGCCAUGCCGCGUGUAUGAAGAAGGCCUUCGGGUUGUAAAGUACUUUCAGCGGGGAGGAAGGCGAUAAGGUUAAUAACCUUGUCGAUUGACGUUACCCGCAGAAGAAGCACCGGCUAACUCCGUGCCAGCAGCCGCGGUAAUACGGAGGGUGCAAGCGUUAAUCGGAAUUACUGGGCGUAAAGCGCACGCAGGCGGUCAGUCAAGUCGGAUGUGAAAUCCCCGGGCUCAACCUGGGAACUGCAUUCGAAACUGGCAGGCUAGAGUCUUGUAGAGGGGGGUAGAAUUCCAGGUGUAGCGGUGAAAUGCGUAGAGAUCUGGAGGAAUACCGGUGGCGAAGGCGGCCCCCUGGACAAAGACUGACGCUCAGGUGCGAAAGCGUGGGGAGCAAACA